rnacentral:lncRNA from 1 species
CCUGCUUCCAUGUUUUAUUUUUCUCUAUCUUCUUGAUUUCUUCCUCCAUAGCUUUAAUCCAAACUUCUUUUGUUAUUUCUUCAAAAUUUUUCAGUUCAAGUAAUCUAAAAUUGCAUUUUUCAUAAAUUUCAUUUAAAGAUCUUACCUGCCUUAGAGGGGAUUCUGGUGAGGAUGGUUGCUCUCUUGGACUUGCUGUCUUUUCUGAGCUAAUCUCUUUUUCUUCCUCAUGAGUUGAUGCUGGUUGUAGUUGCACUUAAAAAAUUAUUAUUGGAGUCUCCUGCACUUUUUCUUCAU